AACACAUGCAAGUCGAGCGGUAACAGGGGGUGCUUGCACCCCGCUGACGAGCGGCGGACGGGUGAGUAAUGCAUAGGAAACUGCCCAGUAGUGGGGGAUAGCCCGGGGAAACCCGGAUUAAUACCGCGUACGCCCUUCGGGGGAAAGCAGGGGAUCUUCGGACCUUGCGCUAUUGGAUGUGCCUAUGUCGGAUUAGCUAGUUGGUGGGGUAAAGGCCUACCAAGGCGACGAUCCGUAGCUGGUCUGAGAGGAUGAUCAGCCACAUCGGGACUGAGACACGGCCCGAACUCCUACGGGAGGCAGCAGUGGGGAAUAUUGGACAAUGGGGGCAACCCUGAUCCAGCCAUGCCGCGUGUGUGAAGAAGGCUUUCGGGUUGUAAAGCACUUUCAGUGAGGAGGAAAAGUUGGUCGUUAAUACCGGCCAGCCUUGACGUUACUCACAGAAGAAGCACCGGCUAACUCCGUGCCAGCAGCCGCGGUAAUACGGAGG
rnacentral:rRNA from 1 species